rnacentral:rRNA from 1 species
AGAGUUUGAUCCUGGCUCAGGACGAACGCUGGCGGCGUGCUUAACACAUGCAAGUCGAACGGAAAGGCCCUGCUUUUGUGGGGUGCUCGAGUGGCGAACGGGUGAGUAACACGUGAGUAACCUGCCCUUGACUUUGGGAUAACUUCAGGAAACUGGGGCUAAUACCGGAUAGGAGCUCCUGCUGCAUGGUGGGGGUUGGAAAGUUUCGGCGGUUGGGGAUGGACUCGCGGCUUAUCAGCUUGUUGGUGGGGUAGUGGCUUACCAAGGCUUUGACGGGUAGCCGGCCUGAGAGGGUGACCGGCCACAUUGGGACUGAGAUACGGCCCAGACUCCUACGGGAGGCAGCAGUGGGGAAUAUUGCACAAUGGGCGGAAGCCUGAUGCAGCAACGCCGCGUGCGGGAUGACGGCCUUCGGGUUGUAAACCGCUUUCGCCUGUGACGAAGCGUGAGUGACGGUAAUGGGUAAAGAAGCACCGGCUAACUACGUGCCAGCAGCCGCGGUGAUACGUAGGGUGCGAGCGUUGUCCGGAUUUAUUGGGCGUAAAGGGCUCGUAGGUGGUUGAUCGCGUCGGAAGUGUAAUCUUGGGGCUUAACCCUGAGCGUGCUUUCGAUACGGGUUGACUUGAGGAAGGUAGGGGAGAAUGGAAUUCCUGGUGGAGCGGUGGAAUGCGCAGAUAUCAGGAGGAACACCAGUGGCGAAGGCGGUUCUCUGGGCCUUUCCUGACGCUGAGGAGCGAAAGCGUGGGGAGCGAACAGGCUUAGAUACCCUGGUAGUCCACGCUGUAAACGGUGGGUACUAGGUGUGGGGUCCAUUCCACGGGUUCCGUGCCGUAGCUAACGCUUUAAGUACCCCGCCUGGGGAGUACGGCCGCAAGGCUAAAACUCAAAGGAAUUGACGGGGCCCCGCACAAGCGGCGGAGCAUGCGGAUUAAUUCGAUGCAACGCGUAGAACCUUACCUGGGUUUGACAUGGAUCGGGAGCGCUCAGAGAUGGGUGUGCCUCUUUUGGGGGUCGGUUCACAGGUGGUGCAUGGCUGUCGUCAGCUCGUGUCGUGAGAUGUUGGGUUAAGUCCCGCAACGAGCGCAACCCUUGUUCACUGUUGCCAGCACGUAUGUGGGGACUCAGUGGAGACCGCCGGGGUCAACUCGGAGGAAGGUGGGGAUGACGUCAAGUCAUCAUGCCCCUUAUGUCCAGGGCUUCACGCAUGCUACAAUGGCUGGUACAGAGAGUGGCGAGCCUGUGAGGGUGAGCGAAUCUCGGAAAGCCGGUCUCAGUUCGGAUUGGGGUCUGCAACUCGACCUCAUGAAGUCGGAGUCGCUAGUAAUCGCAGAUCAGCAACGCUGCGGUGAAUACGUUCCCGGGGCUUGUACACACCGCCCGUCAAGUCAUGAAAGUUGGUAACACCCGAAGCCGGUGGCCUAACCGUUGUGGGGGAGCCGUCGAAGGUGGGACUGGUGAUUAGGACUAAGUCGUAACAAGGUAACC